rnacentral:rRNA from 1 species
AGAGUUUGAUCCUGGCUCAGGGUGAACGCUGGCGGCGUGCCUAACACAUGCAAGUCGAGCGGGUACCCGCAAGGGUACCAGCGGCGCACGGGUGAGUAACACGUGGGUAAUCUACCCCUCGGAGGGGGAUAACCGGGGGAAACUCCGGCUAAUACCCCAUACGAUCCAACAACACAAGUUGUUGGAUGAAAGGAGCGUUUGCUCCGCCGAGGGAUGAGCCCGCGGCCCAUCAGGUAGUUGGUGGGGUAAUGGCCCACCAAGCCUACGACGGGUAGCCGGCCUGAGAGGGUGGUCGGCCACAAGGGCACUGAGACACGGGCCCUACUCCUACGGGAGGCAGCAGUGGGGAAUCUUGGACAAUGGGCGAAAGCCUGAUCCAGCGACGCCGCGUGGGGGAUGAAGCCCUUCGGGGUGUAAACCCCUGUUGCGAGGGAGGAAUAAGGCCUGGAGGAAAUGCCAGGCCGAUGACUGUACCUCGCGAGGAAGCCCCGGCUAACUACGUGCCCGCAGCCGCGGUAAUACGUAGGGGGCGAGCGUUACCCGGAUUCACUGGGCGUAAAGCGGGUGUAGGCGGCUCGGUAAGUCGGGUGUGAAAUCCCACAGCUCAACUGUGGAAUUGCGCCCGAAACUGCUGAGCUUGGGGCCGGUAGAGGGAGACGGAACUGCCGGUGUAGGGGUGAAAUCCGUAGAUAUCGGCAGGAACGCCGGUGGGGAAGCCGGUCUCCUGGGCCGCGCCCGACGCUGAGACCCGAAAGCUAGGGGAGCAAACCGGAUUAGAUACCCGGGUAGUCCUAGCCGUAAACGAUGCCCACUAGGUGUGGGGGAUUAAUUCCUCCGUGCUGUAGCUAACGCGUUAAGUGGGCCGCCUGGGGAGUACGCCCGCAAGGGUGAAACUCAAAGGAAUUGACGG